rnacentral:lncRNA from 8 species
AACUGUGACGAUUCAGAGGCACCCUGCACUGAUGACAACAAAACAAGCCAAGCCCAAUGUCCUGACUUUAUCCCAGGCCAAAAGCACAACAGUACCAGCAGUGAUGUUCCUGCACCUGCAUUUUUAGGUAAUAGAUCAACUGUCAUCUUCAAAUCAAAAUCCAAUGUAUUCGUCACAUACACAGUUUACAGCAGGUAUAAUAGGUGCAGCGAAAUGCUCAUGUGCACCUCACAUAUCUUCCACUUCCUUUUGGCAGGUCAUAAUGUGCUACCAUUCAUCUGUCUGUCAUUUCUGCUCCUAUCUCCUGUCCAUCUGCUUGUUUAAUGUGUUUUGUUUUCACAUGUCUGCUACUGCCUACACCAUGUUGUUAGUGUGACUAGGACCUCCCUGUCUGACCGUGUUGGUUCCUCCCUCUCGUAGGUUCCAUCCCAGUGUCAGAGACACAAACGCCCCCAGUGUCCCCAUCACAAGUCUUCCUCCAGUACGAGUGUGCCCCUUCACUUACCGUCCCAACGGAUACACCCCCCCAGUCUGCCUGUGUCAGUCACGCUGCCGCUCACACUGAGGAGAAUGUAGCAGGGUUAGUGUUUAUAUUCUCUCUCUUUUACAGGAAGAGGAUAUUGCAUGUGUUUAGAUUAACAUCCCCCCACAACUGAAGAGCUAGGCUAAGGUGAGACUGUGCAGGGAUGCCAGUGUUUACAUGGUCACACACCAGCGCCCCAAAAAAUUACAGAGGCACUCAGUACAUUCCUAGGAGGAAGCGGGAACUGUCAGAGGAUUGCAUAAAGUGUGUUAGGAAAGGCCCACCUCUCCGGGUUUAGAGUGAGGAGGCGGAGGUAUUUCACAGAGCAGGAAGCUGUGGAAGUUAUUACAAAUAUUCAAGCUGAUAUACGGGUUAUAAUUGUGUUUGAUAUGAUUUUGGAGAGAUUUAACUGUUGAUUAUGGAUAAAGAACGGUGUGUUGAUGUGUUUGAUCAGUCUCAGAUCGGAGGAUCCUACUUGCCGUGACUACUGUCAGUCAGAGGCCCGCGACUGUGGGAGUGGCCAAGCAUUGCCGCCUGGAGACUUUGGGAGGAGUCAGCCAUCAAACCCAGAAGACAGUGCUGGUAGUAAAGCCUCUGAACCAGAAGAUAGUGGGAGGAGCAAUGUAUUACAACCAACAGAUAUUGGGUGUGAUCUAGAGCAUUGUGGGAGUUUCCAUUCUCGGGAUCUACCGACUGUUUUAAUAACAGGCUCAGAUAAGGAAGGAGGGGGCCACGAGUUGUAUUGCUUUCCCUGGGUUCAGACUGAACAGCAGUUAGAAGAAUCCCCUACCCAACCCAUCCCAGCUGAGAGUCCCUUUUUUUUCCCCCUGACACGACCCCGAGCCCCACAGCCCCCCGUUAUGCCCGUCCUCCCUGAAGAGGAGGAGGAUUCCCCUGAGGAGCUCGACAGUUCCUCCAGCUCACCCAGCACAGUGAGUACCUAUCCAUUACGUUAA